UUUUUUUAUUGUGUUUUCAUUGAAACUGAACGCCCCUAAUUCUGUUAGGGAUGAGAUUGGUUGCAUGACCUUUAGAGAGAGAUCCCUUAUAGCUUCGAUGGUAUGCAACGCUGCUAACUUGAGGAUGUCGAACCCCUUUCGUCCAUUUUUUUUUGGCGUGGAUGAUCCGAAUAGCCUAGAGUUUUCUUGCUUUUGGGUCCUCUAAAUCUAUUGUUUAGUAGGCUAGGCUGUAGAGUCCUGGUAGGUUUUCUUUCUAUUGUGGGUCAUAGGCCUUCCAUGCUUUGUUUGGGCCUCGAGCCUUGAGUCUGAAUUGCUUUUUUCAUUGCAAUGAAAGACUCUUUACCUUGAAAAAAAAAAUAAUUCAAUGGACACAGUGACACAGAGAUAUAAGAUUCCUGAUGAUCACGUGCACAUCAGUCACAUCCAUCUGCAGCAGAUUCUCACUUUUAUGCACAUGAAGAACCCUGGCAAACUCCUAAUUAAUUGAUUAAUUCCAUAGAAAUAGAAAAAUCAAUACCCAUAAUCAUCAAGGUACCAUAUGUAUUAUCUCACACUGAUCUCUAUAACGACAACAGUACUGCAUUUCAAAACAAAACAACUAAUUAAUUAAAACCCACAUAGUAAUUAAUUAACUCUUAAUCAUACUUAAUCAGCGAUG
rnacentral:misc_RNA from 1 species